GGAAGGGUAUGAAGAGGUGAGGCUGUGGAGGGCAGAGGGGAUCCUGCAGGGACGAGUGCUGUGUCAUAUUAGUGGUUGUGACGUUGUGCUGCGGAUGUUGUAUAAGAGGUCACCAUGGGUUGGUGGGGCAGUCAGGGCUGGAAGUGUCCUGGGGUGGUGGGGACAGUGUGGGCUGCAGGUAUCCUGGGUGCUGGACACAGCCUGAAUGCAGGUGGUCAUGGUACCCUCAGCUGUGAUGUUGAGGGUCUCCCAGCCCACCCUGGACACCAUAGGAGGCUGUGGCAGGUUGCUCAAAGUGCCCUAUGAUCCAGGCUGGACCUGACCCUGUCUCUCUGCUCUGCAUCCGGGCUCUUUCUGCCUCCCCAGGGAGGGAGCCCAUGCUUGUUGGCAGUGGUCAGCAGUAGUGGAGAGUGAGGAGCCCAUUCUGUCCCCUGUGGGUGGCCAUCGCCCUGGGGCUGUGCUCAGCAGAAAUCCCAGACUGACAGAUGAGGAUGUUCGGUCCAGGCAUCUCCCCAGGGCCGUUUGGCCCAAGCCCUCAUGAUCUGGAGAACAGGCAAGAUUUGAGCCACGGGCCUUAUGUCCUGUGGGGGCUGCUGCACUCUCCAGGGAGGCUCAGGUGGCUGGAAUUCAAGAAACCAAGGUCACUUCCAGGCCCUCUGUGUAAGUCCUGCUGUUUGUCCCACAUAGUUGGAUCACAUGACCUAUGGCUGUGAGAGAGCUGGGUUUACUGUUGACCUGGUCCAAGGAGGAGAGCACAGCCCGCCCCCGUUCUGUAGUCACACCAGCGUCUAACCCCUCUCUGUGUCCCAGAACGCUGCAGCUACCCUGGUCCUAUCAGACAGAAUUUGUGGCUGCUCUCUGCACCUGCUGAUUAUCCCUGGGCCUGUCACUCAUGGUUUGUCACGGGUGCAUCCUGCUUGUUUGGGGAAGCCUGACCAGGAGGGAGAGCUAGCUGCAGACCUGCGUGGAGCUCACGGCAGAUGUGAUUUUAGUUUACAAAACUUGAAGAGGUGGAAGCUGGUGUGGGAGGCUAAGACCUAGAGAGUGUAGGGAACAGACCUGAGGCCUGUCAACCGUCAGACCCAAGGAAGGGACCUCCUGUGGGAAGAGGGUCUUUGCAGAUGCAGUCAAGUUGAGGCAAGUCAGCCUGGAGCAGGGCUGGCGUCCUUGUAAGAGGAAAGUUGGACAGACACACAGUCAGAAGGCCCUGGAGUGGCAGGCAGAGACUGGAGUGGUGCUGCCUUUGCCGAGGGAUGCCCCUAGAUUGCUGGGAACUUCUUGGGAGCUAGAAGAGUGGGGAGGAUCCUUCCCUGGAGCCUGCAGAGGGAGCGUGGGCCUGCGGUCCCUUGAUCCUGGCAGCCCUGGAUGCCAACACGGGAGGUGCACGGGCCACACGAGUCAUGAGAAACCCGUGAGGAUUCAAGCUCAGCCUGCCGGGCUGUUGCAGGACAGGUGGCUUCUGGGUGACCCUCUGUCCUGGAGGCCAAGCUGACCCAGCCCACAAAUGAUGAGUGUGGCCUGGAAGUCGGAGGGGAGUGGCUGGGGAAGUCGGGGAGGCCGGCUUGGGCCCCGCAGGCUUCCCGGUGCUUCUUCCGAGGCUGGCGGGGCCUGUCCGGGGGCAGCAGGUGGAGUGUGAACGGAGGAAGGCUCGGCACGUUUCUGCAGUGCUCGGCACGCUGCCUCUGUCACUCCCGCAAUGCGUGGCCUGCAGAGAUGGAGCCCGUGGAGCCCCAGACAGUGCGUGUCAGGGGCUGUGGGCCUGGCUUUGGUGCAGGAGGGGUACGUGGGCUAGGUCGGGGCCCCAGCCUGCAGCAGCAGUUAGAGCAGGUCUGGGCAGUGGUCCAGUUGGUGGGCCUUUUGUUGUGUCACCUGGCAGCUGGCAGAGCCAAUGCACUUGGAUUGGGGGCGGUGGAAAAAAAUUAGUUUUAAUAAAAACUACAGAAAGUCCAGAAAUCAUGAUGCCUCAGCCCAUCCUCAGAACUUGCUCAAGGUGUUUUUGCCUGGUCUCACUGCUCCACAAACCACCCAACUGCCUGCCCGCCCAGUCUCCCUGGGCGCCAGUGCCUUUGCUCUUAAACAAAGCCCAGGUGUUCCUUGUUUUCACUGCUCACCGUGCCAAGGAUGAACACUCUCCAUACUUUUAUUUUUUUGGUUUCCUUUCUCUCCACUGGGAGCAUGGCUCAGGGAGUAAGGUGUGCAUGUAAAUGUACCCAUGUGCCCAUGUGCCCACACACCCACCAGUGCGCACACCUGCAAGGGCACCAAGGGCAGCCCUUGCAGGGCACAGCAGGAGCUGGAGGGACCUCAACAGCAGGAAAGCCAGUGUAGGGUGGCAGCUGGCCGGUGGGCAGCGCUCCCAGUUCUGGUAGUAAAAGCCCUGGACAGGGCCACCUCCUUGGCCUUGGGCUAAGGGGUUGGCCACUUACCUUAGAGUGUGAGGAGGAAGCUAAAACCCAGAAGGGGAGGGGCCUCAGGGGCGCUGGUCUUGCAGUGCCGACGAUGACGGGGUAAGGAAAGGCCCCUCCCGCAACCCAGCACUUGAGCCGUGUGUGGGACGCAGUGAGAUGACCCUGUCCUCCCCUGGAAGCUUGGCCGUGAGCGUGUACAGCAGAGGGCUUUGCCAUGUGUCACUUCAGGACCCAGAGAAGGGGGUUGUACCACAUUGCCCAUGAGGGUCCAGUGUCAGGGCAGGGCCCCUGUGCAGGGGAUGCAGAGAAGGUGGGGUGGGAAGCCAGACGGGGGCCCGGGAGAAGGAGGAGAUGGAAGGCCACAAGCAGAGGUUGGAGUGGUGUGCUUGGAAUGGGGAGAGGGGCCACGAGCCAGGGAACGUGGGUGGCCUCUGGACGCAGACAAGGGCUCGGACGUGAACUUCCUCUGCUGCCUCCAGCCCAGCCGAGCGGCACCUGGAAUUCUGAGCCCACGUCUGUAGGAGAGUCCACUGUGGGCAGCCAGCGUGGGGAUGUGGGCAGGGUGAGGGAGUCACUGGCCGCAUGGGUGUGGGCUGUCACAGAGCCCAGCACGGGGACCCCAGGCCACAGCGUGUGCCUCUCGCGGCUCUAGAGGCUGCAGCUGGAGAUGGGCCAGCGGCUCUGGCUGCGGGUGGGCCUCCUUUUCCAAGCUGCCUUCCUCCCUCUGUGUCCUCCUGGUAGCAGAGGCCGAGGCAGCUCCCUGGCACUGAUGCCAUCCCCGAGGCGAAGCCCCUCCAGGGCCUCACCUCGUGGGAGACACAUUCCGUCACAGCGGCAUCCCAGGGGACCAGCUGGGAGCCAGCACACAGAGCUCAGGGUCAGCACGGAAGGAGCUCCAGGGUCAGCAGAAAAGACAGGCUUCCAGGAGGAAAGUGAGCAGAGGUCGGAGCUUCAGAACAGGGGAGCUAAAGGGCCGCCAGGCAUUCACAGGACACCUGUCCUCCUGGGCAGCAACACAAUGCAAACUGACCAUCGCAGAGGCACGGGGGACGCGGAGCCGUGGGCCGGCUGGUAGCAGUGGUUGGUGGAAGGGCAGCACGUGGUGCCAGUCCUCACAGCCUGGCAGAGUGGAAGUCCCAUGCUAGGUGGGGAGCAAUGGGCAGAUCUGAGAGCUGAGCGACGGCGGGAGGGUGGGGGCAGUAACUAAGCAAGUGGGGUCAGCCUGGUUGUGGCAGGACGGUUGUCACUGCUGUGAAUCGUUCAUUUGGUGCUUUAAAGCAUCCCUAAUGCCAAAAAGCACUGCUGAACAAAAACUGGCAUCUGUGGUUCCAUUAGUGACCCCAGGUAAGCCUCCCUGUCCCCCGUCUUUCUGGUGCGGAGGGGAGGGGUUCCCUGUCCUUCUGGAGGUACAAGUCUGGGAUCAAGGUGUCACACGGCAGGGCUACUUCUUCUGAGGCUUCAGAAAAGGACCCUUCCCGCCUCUCCCAGGUUCCAGGGGUCACCAGCAGCUACAGUCCAGAUGUCUGUGACCCCUGCCCUCAUUCAUGCAUUGAAAUCAACCCUGGUGUGACAGUUUUAGGAGGUGAGCCUGUGGGAGGGGACCAGGUCAUGAGGGUGGAGGCUUCGUGGUGAGGAUAGUGUCCUUCUGAAGGAGGCCCCAGAGGCGGCCUCGCUCUGCACCAUGUGACCAGGAAGCAGCCUCACCAGACACUGAGCCUGUGGGCACCUGGGGUUUGGACGUCCAGCCUCCAGAACUGUGAGCCACACAUGCUGUUGUUUGUGAGCCGCACAGCGUGUGGUAUCCGAUGAGUGGCCGGUGGACGCAGGUGACCCUCAGCCUCUGAUGGUGUGUAUCUGGACUCGUCUCUGCCCCCACCUUCCACAGCCUUCUCCUGUGGACUGAAACUCCUGCCAGGCUCAUGCCCAUCUUUAAAAUAAAAUAACAUUUACUUACUCAUUAAAGGAAAAUCUUAGGAAAUUUAGACACUAGAGGAGAAGUGGGCAGUGACACUCCCUAGUGGUGUUUUAGGCCCAGCUUGACCGCAGAGCUGAGGACCUGGGCUCAGAGGGCCCAGAGCUUGGCUUAGUGACCCGACCUCAUGUGCUGGGCCGGCCAAGUCAGCGGUCCUCAGGUGGCCAGUGCUCAAGGUCAUGACUUCUGCCACUUCUUCCACUGCCACUUGCUGCUGGUAUCUGCCGGGGAGGAAGCCACGGGCCUGCCCUUGGGGAGGAGGGUGAAGCCCUGGGCGUUUCCUGGGUUCCCCUCCUGGCCUCACGGCCCUUGAGAUGGAGGGGUGACUUUGGGGGCUGCAUGGGGGCUAGGGUGUCAGGGUGCCCUUGCCUAAGACCUUCAAGGGCUCCCCAGGAUGGGGCCAUCUCCCCAUGGCAGGCAAGUCCCAGAGAGAGGACAGCCUGGAGGCCAGCGUAGGCAGUGGUUCGUGAUCAGUCUGCUUGGGUGGCCAUAACCAAGUACCCCAGCCAGGACUAAGCAGCAGACAUCCUCCAGGAGGCUGGAGACCCAGGUCAAGGUUCUCCACGCUGGUUCCUCCUGGGGCCCCUCUCUGUGGCUGGUGGUUGGCGUGCUCUACUUGUGUCCUCACAGGGCCAUCCUGUGUGCGUGUGUGUGUGUGUCCCAAUCCCCUUCCUGUGAGGACACAGUCUCAUUGGCUCAGGGCUGUCCCAAGGACCCCAUUUUACCUUUAAAGACCCUGACUCCAAGUACAGUCACAUUCUGAGGGACUAUGGGUCGACUUUCACGUAUGAAUUUUGGGGGUGGGUGGGCUGAAGCACACGGUGACCCCAGUGACUCCAGAGGCUGAGUCAGGAGGAUCAUAAGUUUGAAAGUGGCCUGGCCAACUUAGGAGGCUCUGUGUCAAAAUUUUAAAAGUGCCCGUGGGUUCACUGUGCAGGACCAAGGGAACUUUGAGGGGGACCGUGCAGGACCAAGGGAACUUUGAGGGGGACCGUGCAGCCCGUGACAAGGGGCUCCUCCCCUCAGGGCCGGGCUCUGUCCCAGGCGAGCUCCUGCAUCGUGUGUUCUCACCGUGAGGAGUUCUGCCAAAGGCGGAGGAGAGCUUCUGACCCCGGCUGCAGGGGCCUGUGGGACCUGCUGCUGCCCACUCUACCUCCCCUUGGAAGGAUUGGAGCUCCCACGGUGGACUCUGGAACACCUGCCUGAGGACCCAGGGGGACACUGGCCCCUGCGCCCUCGCCCACGGCUCGGCUCGUCGGGGGAGCAGCCCUCGCCAUCUGAGCCGUGGCUCCAUCUCUCCCUAGACAGACUGGUUCCAGUCUUACGGGUCUCCUGUGGCGGUGGGCCAGGCAGGCAGCUGGGCGGCUGGCCACACGAAGCAGCUGCCGUCCUGUACCACGGCAACCUGGAGCAGGUCCCACGCCCCACAUUUACCUGGAGUGGGUGUUCUGUGUGUCCAGUGUGCGCCCGACCUCAGGGCACCGUUUCUGUGUCGUGUCCCCAUGUGACGUGGUGGCCAGUGACAGCAAGUGAAGAGGACCCGGGCUCAGCUCUCACAGGCAAAGGGAGCUGGGCAGGGUGAGCACAGGAGCAGGGCGGGCGCUGGCCCCGGGAUGCUGGCCGGGAUGAGGCUGCUCUCGACAGAAGAGGGGAACAGGUGGCCGGGCCCUGCCUUCCCAGGGCAGCACGUGGCAGGGCCCGACUCGGAGGGUGACGCUGCAGAGGCAGAUUCGUUGGGAUUGGUCAGAUUCAGUCUUGGACAUGCGCAGCAUUUCCCGAGUCUCUGGGGGCAAAGCAUUGGAAACAGCGUCUCCCUGCUGCUGGCAGGGACCCAAGGCCAUGCAGGUGUGGUGGUCACACCAGCACUGGCGACAAGCUCCUGCAGGGCGAGAGUCCGGCUGUGACAGGCUGUGGCUGGACAGCAGCCCGGCAGCGGUGCUCUCCUGGCUGCUUUGCUGCUUGUGCCCUUGCUGCUUGUGCCCUGAUGUGCACCUUGGUCUGGGCACCUGUCCCCUUGUGCUGGCUGAAUGCCAGUGUGGGGCAGGAAGUCCACCGUGCAGGGCAGGUUGGCGCCGGCCACUCAGGAGCAGCUUGUUUAGUGGGCAGUGCUCCCUGGGAACGGGCCCUCCAGGAGCCCGUCUUCCCUGAGCCUGCCUGUCUGCACACUGGCUCCUCCUGCUGGACCUGUCCCCCCGGGGCUGGGGGCUGCCCUGACCUGUGCACCUCCUCUGCUGUACCAAGAGUUCCCUCACCUCAACUGCUGAGUGUGGCCGUGGACUCCCCUGCACGUGCUCAGCUGAUGGGGCAGGAACUGCCCCGCGUGUAAACACGUAAAGCAGAGGCCUCGGGGGAGCACUCGUGGGGAGCCCGAUGCCCCCGUGCCAGUUCCUAAGGCCACACUGUCAACCAAGAACCUGACCCUCUGCAGACUCUGCCAAGAGCUCCUCUCCCUGCCAACUUGCCGUCUGCGGGUUUUGUGUACUGGGACGUGGUAGAGGCUGAGCCCAGAGGAAGUGUGCGGCCCUGCAGGGGCAGCUCCUCGGAGCUCACGUGUGGCUUGUCUGGGAGUGCACACGCAUUGCCUGUGUGGAUGCACAUGUGCACAUGUGAUGGUGUGCAUCCUGCCCUCUGCAUCGACAGCAUCCAUAUUCUUGUAUAAAAUACAUUUGGGAGGCGCUGGGGUUGUGGCUCAGCGGUACAGUGCUCGCCUAGCACAUGCAGGGCCCUGGGUUUGAUCCUCAGCACCACAAAAAAAUGAAUGAAUGGAUAGAAUAAAGGUCUUAUGUCCAAGUACAACUGAAAAAUAAAUAUUUAAAAAAUAUUUGGGUGGCUGGGGCUGUGGCUCGGUGGUAGAGCGCUUGCCUGGCACAGGUGAGGCCCUGGGUUCAAUCCUCAGAACCACAUAAAAACAAACAAAGGUUAAAGGUUUUUUUUUUUUUUUUUUUUAGUUGUAGUUGGACACAAUACCUUUAUUUGUUUUUUUGUGGUGCUGAGGAUCGAACCCAGUGCCUCACGCUUGCUAGGCGAGUGCUCUACCACUGAGCCAUAAUGCUAGCCCCAAUGUUAAGUUUUUUAAAAGAAACUCAUUGGGGCUGGGAUAUGGCUCAAGUUGCGUGCUUGCCUGGCGUGUAUGAGGCACUGGGUUCGAUCCUCAGCACCACAAAAAAAUAAAAUAAAGAUAUUGUGUCCACCUAAAGCUAAAAAAUAAAUAUUAAAAAAAGAAACAUUUAGAAAAAACUCACAUCCGUACUGACUAUGUACGUUUUCUCUUCCUCCACAGAUGUGGCAUUCGCAAUGUGUCAGGUGUUACUAGCCGUUUAGGGGUGCCCAAAGCUCGGCUUAUGCAAGUGGCCUUUUAAGGUACCAUGGAAAGGGAAUCUUUCCUGCUGUGAUGGAGACCCCUCCCCAGCUCCCUGUGAGUGAGAGCCAGACUUGGCUCCCGAGGUGUGCACCUGCCUCCCGUGGUGCUCCCACACAGCCUGUGCCGCCUCCCCACCUUGCCCAGGCCCUGUGCCUGCCCCUCGUGGAUCAACGGCCCUCUGCUCGUGAACACAGGAAUGUGCACGGCCCCGCACUCUGGCACCGGUCUGACAUUUAAUGCAGAAUUUACACGGACGUUUGCAUUACAUCACACUGGUCAAUGGGUCUGAGAUACAUCUGUUGAAAAAGCAGUGUCCUUUGUCUCCACGUGAACACUUGGGAAGCAGCCCGGAUACACAACUCUACCAAAGAAAAAUGAACAAAAUGGUGCUUAGAAAACGUGGCCUGGAGGUGCCCGGCGCAGGGCGCGACCCUGACCCAGACAUCCUGUGGAGCUCCGCUGCCCUGGACAGUACCGCAGCUCUUCCGCUUCCUUCAGGAACAGUCUGCUGGGAAAAGGAAAGGGCUCCUGGUGAGCCGUGGGGCCUGGCGGGCAGGCGGGCAGGUCACGCGCGCAGGACCACAGGACUGUAUUAAAAGAUUGAGGUCAUGGGACGUCCUGUUGAACACACGUGGGCAAAGAAAGCACCAUCCCUCUUCUGAGCCAUGGAAGAACCCGAAGCCAUCAAAGAAGAUGGAUGCUGCAGUUGGCUGGGCACCUGGCGAGGACCAGUGCGCUGCUCAUUUAAUUGCUAAAGCCACAGUGACACGGGUGCUACCCCGGUUUAGAGGUCUGAGGUGGAGACGCUCGGCCUGUGUGCAGCGAGGCUAGGGCGUGCGGGAGUCCACGGCCUGCGGCUGUCGCUGGCCCUCUGGCAGGCCCAGCCCCAGUUCUCAGGCCCUGUGCUCCAAACGCUUUAUAAACUGAGGAGCUCUCAAGUCACCCGACAGACACGUGACUGGUGUGACCUUAUUGCGGGGUGGCUGCAUGGACCGCUUCUGCCACCAUGCGGGUUAAGUGAAUGACCAGUGUCAGCAGGUGCGGGGGAAAAUGCCUAGGCGAAAUACACAAAUGCUUUAUUUUGGAAAACUUUUAAGUACUUCAAUUUCACUUUAAAAACAUUUUUUUCUGGAUGGGCACAGGACUACUCAGAAUGCCUGUAACGCCUGUCCCCAAAACAGGCACCAUAGAAAGGGAAUCUUUCCUGCUGUGAUGGAGACCCCUCCCCAGCUCCCUGAGAGCCAGACUUGGCUCCCCGAGGUGUGCACCUGCCUCCCGUGGUGCUCCCACACAGCCUGCGCCGCCUCACCACCCUGCCCAGGCCCUGUGCCUGCCCCUCGUGGAUCAACGCCCUAUAUAUGUCCUAAUUAUGGAUCUUUUCUACUAACUGAAGUGUGCUCUCCUUUUCUCAGAGCCCAGUUCUAAUUACUAUAUUUUUAUUCAAGGAAUUAAACACGCUGUGCACCAUG